rnacentral:rRNA from 1 species
CCUACGGGAGGCUGCAGUGAGGAAUAUUGGUCAAUGGGCGCGAGCCUGAACCAGCCAAGUAGCGUGAAGGAUGACUGCCCUCCGGGUUGUAACCUUCUUUUAUAAAGGCAUCAAGUGAGGCACGUGUGCCUUUUUGUAUGUACUUUAUGAAUAAGGAUCGGCUAACUCCGUGCCAGCAGCCGCGGUAAUACGUAGGAUCCGAGCGUUAUCCGGAUUUAUUGGGUUUAAAGGGAGCGUAGAUGGGUUGUUAAGUCAGUUGUGAAAGUUUGCGGCUCAACCGUAAAAUUGCAAUUGAUACUGGCAGUCUUGAGUACAGUUGAGGCAGGCGGAAGUCGUGGUGUAGCGGUGAAAUGCGUAGAUAUCACGAAGAACUCCGAUUGCGAAGGCAGCUUACUAAACUGCCACUGACAUUGAUGCUCGAAAGUGUGGGUAUCAAACAGGAUUAGAUACCCCAGUAGUC